rnacentral:rRNA from 1 species
GCAAACGGGAUUAGAUACCCUGGUAGUCCACGCUGUAAACGAUGUCGAUUUGGAGGUUGUGCCCUUGAGGCGUGGCUUCCGGAGCUAACGCGUUAAAUCGACCGCCUGGGGAGUACGGCCGCAAGGUUAAAACUCAAAUGAAUUGACGGGGGCCCGCACAAGCGGUGGAGCAUGUGGUUUAAUUCGAUGCAACGCGAAGAACCUUACCUACUCUUGACAUCCAGAGAACUUAGCAGAGAUGCUUUGGUGCCUUCGGGAACUCUGAGACAGGUGCUGCAUGGCUGUCGUCAGCUCGUGUUGUGAAAUGUUGGGUUAAGUCCCGCAACGAGCGCAACCCUUAUCCUUUGUUGCCAGCGGUUCGGCCGGGAACUCAAAGGAGACUGCCAGUGAUAAACUGGAGGAAGGUGGGGAUGACGUCAAGUCAUCAUGGCCCUUACGAGUAGGGCUACACACGUGCUACAAUGGCAUAUACAAAGAGAAGCGACCUCGCGAGAGCAAGCGGACCUCAUAAAGUAUGUCGUAGUCCGGAUUGGAGUCUGCAACUCGACUCCAUGAAGUCGGAAUCGCUAGUAAUCGUAGAUCAGAAUGCUACGGUGAAUACGUUCCCGGGCCUUGUACACACCGCCCGUCACACCAUGGGAGUGGGUUGCAAAAGAAGUAGGUAGCUUAACCUUCGGGAGGGCGCUUACCACUUUGUGAUUCAUGACUGG